UACCUGGUUGAUCCUGCCAGUAGUCAUAUGCUUGUCUUAAGAUUAAGCCAUGCAUGUCUAAGUAUAAGCAUUUAUACCGCGAGACUGCGAACGGCUCAUUAAAACAGUUAUGGUUUAUUUGAUGGUUCCUUUGCUACUUGGAUAACCGUAGUAAUUCUAGAGCUAAUACAUGCACGAAGGGGCGACUUACGAAGCCCUGUAUUUAUUAGAUUAAAGCCAACCGCCUCCGGGUGUUCGUGGUGAAUCAUAGUAACUUAUCGGAUCGCCGGCUCUAUGCCAGCGACGUGUCAUUCAAAUUUCUGCCCUAUCAGCUUUAGAUGGUAGGAUAUGGGCCUACCAUGGCGGUGACGGGUAACGGAGAAUUAGGGUUCGAUUCCGGAGAGGGAGCCUGAGAAACGGCUACCACUUCUAAGGAAGGCAGCAGGCGCGCAAAUUACCCAAUCCUGACUCAGGGAGGUAGCGACAAGAAAUAACAAUAAACCGGCUUAUGCCGGUUUAAUUGGAAUGAGUACAAUUUAAACAUCUUAACGAGGAACAAUUGGAGGGCAAGUCUGGUGCCAGCAGCCGCGGUAAUUCCAGCUCCAUAGC
rnacentral:rRNA from 1 species